rnacentral:rRNA from 1 species
AUACGGAGGGUCCGAGCGUUAUCCGGAAUCAUUGGGUUUAAAGGGUCCGUAGGCGGGAAUCUAAGUCAGUGGUGAGAUCUUGCAGCUCAACUGUAAAAUUGCCAUUGAUACUGGAUUUCUUGAAUUAGUGUGAAGUGGUUAGAAUGUGUAGUGUAGCGGUGAAAUGCAUAGAUAUUACACAGAAUACCAAUUGCGAAGGCAGAUCACUAACACUAUAUUGACGCUAAGGGACGAAAGCGUGGGGAGCGAACAGGAUUAGAAACCCCAGUAGUCC